CAGUCGCCACGGGAAUACGUAGGUGGCAAGCGUUGUCCGGAAUUAUUGGGCGUAAAGCGCACGUAGGCGGCUUUGUAAGUUAGAGGUGAAAGCCUGGAGCUCAACUCCAGAAUUGCCUUUAAGACUGCAUCGCUUGAAUCCAGGAGAGGUGAGUGGAAUUCCGAGUGUAGAGGUGAAAUUCGUAGAUAUUCGGAAGAACACCAGUGGCGAAGGCGGCUCACUGGACUGGUAUUGACGCUGAGGUGCGAAAGCGUGGGGAGCAAACAGGAUUAGAUACCCCAGUAGUCCCUGUCUCUUAUAC
rnacentral:rRNA from 1 species